AGGGGUAGGGGAGCAUACUGUUGAGGCUGAAGCAUGAUCGAGAGGACAUGUGGACGAGACAGUAGAGAGAAUGCCGGAAUAAGUAGCGAGAGUAAAGUGAGAAUCUUUACCGUCGAAAACCUAAGGUUUCCUGGGGAAGGUUCGUCCACCCAGGGUAAGUCGGGACCUAAGCUGAGGCCGAGAGGCGUAGGCGAUGGACAACAGGUUGAAAUUCCUGUACUACCGCUGUUUGUUUGAGAGAAGUGGGGACGCAGAGGGAUAAGUUAAGCGAGCGACUGGAAGAGCUCGUCCAAGGGAGGUAGAAAGACUGGUAGGCAAAUCCGCUGGUUGAUUCGAAGUCCUGAUGGGGAGGGAAACUAAAGUACUGAAGUAACUGAUUCCGCACUGACGAGAAAAGCCACUAUUUAGAACAGAGGUACCCGUACCGCAAACCGACACAGGUAGGUGAGGAGAAAAUCCUAAGACGAUCGGGAGAAGCGUUGUUAAGGAACUCGGCAAAUUAACCCCGUAAGUUCGCGAGAAGGGGUGCCUGUAGAGAUACAGGCCGCAGUGAAUAGGCCCAAACAACUGUUUAUCAAAAACACAGGUCUCUGCUAAAUCGGAAGAUGAAGUAUAGGGGCUGACGCCUGCCCGGUGCUGGAAGGUUACGGGAAUCUGUUAGCGUAAGCGAAGCAGUGAACUUAAGCCCCAGUAAACGGCGGCCGUAACUAUAACGGUCCUAAGGUAGCGAAAUUCCUUGUCAGGUAAGUUCUGACCCGCACGAAAGGCGCAAUGAUUUGGGCACUGUCUCAACAACGCACCCGGCGAAAUUGUAGUACUUGUGAAGAUGCAAGUUACCCGCGACAAGACGGAAAGACCCCAUGGAGCUUUACUGUAGCCUGAUACUGGGUUUCGGUAUUUUUUGUACAGGAUAGGUGGGAGGCUU
rnacentral:rRNA from 1 species